UACCAAGCGCCGCCUUACGGCGUGCGGGACUAUUCUCCCGCUCCACAGGGCUAUGGGUACCCUUCGUACGGUGCGCCGCCAAGUGGGUAUCCUUACAAUGCUCCACCGCAAGGUUAUGGUGCGCCACCGCAGGGCUAUGGUGCGCCACCUCAGGGUUAUGGUGAGCCACCGCAGGGUUAUGGUGCACCACCGCAGGGAUAUGGUGCGCAACCUCAGGGAUAUGGUGCGCAACCUCAGAGUGGGUACGGGUAUAGUAAUGCACCUCCGCAAACGGCGUCGUAUGGGCAGGGGAGCGCGUACGGGUACGCGCCGAAAGAGGAGAAGAAGAAGAGUAAGUUUGGGGGUAUGGGAGCGGGAUUGGCUGUGGGCGCGGUUGCUGGG
rnacentral:lncRNA from 1 species